UACGGAGGGGGCUAGCGUUGUUCGGAAUUACUGGGCGUAAAGCGCACGUAGGCGGCUUUGUAAGUUAGAGGUGAAAGCCUGGGGCUCAACUCCAGAAUUGCCUUUAAGACUGCAUCGCUUGAAUCGCGGAGAGGUGAGUGGAAUUCCGAGUGUAGAGGGUGAAAUUCGUAGAUAUUCGGAAGAACACCAGUGGCGAAGGCGGCUCACUGGACGCGUAUUGACGCUGAGGUGCGAAAGCGUGGGGAGCAAACAGG
rnacentral:rRNA from 1 species